rnacentral:snoRNA from 1 species
UUGACAUAUUAACAGUGUUCCCCAUGGGGGCCCAGUGUACAAUGGCUGCAAACAGUAUCCUCCUUGGUAAUGUGUGGGUUGGCCUAAGAAACCUUAGAGACAGCC